CUCUCACACUCCCAGUCCAACUGUCUGGUUCUCUCACACUCCCAGUCCAACUGUCUGGUUCUCUCACACCCCCAGUCCAACUGUUUGGUUCUCUCACACUCCCAGUCCAACUGUCUGGUUCUCUCACUCCCCCAGUCCAACUGUCUGGUUCUCUCACACCCCCAGUCCAACUGUCUGGUUCUCUCACACCCCCAGUCCAACUGUUUGGUUCUCUCACACUCCCAGUCCAACUGUUUGGUUCUCUCACUCCCCCAGUCCAACUGUCAGGUUCUCUCACUCCCCCAGUCCAACUGUCUGGUUCUAUCACUCCCCCAGUCCAACUGUCUGGUUCUCUCACACCCCAGUCCAACUGUCUGGUUCUCUCACACCCCCAGUCCAAGUGUCUGGUUCUCUCACUCCCCCAGUCCAACUGUCUGGCUCUCUCACUCACCCAGUCCAACUGUCUGGUUCUCUCACUCCCCCAGUCCAACUGUCUGGUUCUCUCACUCCCCAGUCCAACUGUCUGGUUCUCUCACACCCCCAUCCAACUGUCUGGUUCUCUCACUCCACCAGUCCAACUGUCUGGUUCUCUCACACCCCAGUCCAACUGUCUGGUUCUCUCACUCCCCAGUCCAACUGUCUGGUUCUC
rnacentral:lncRNA from 1 species